rnacentral:rRNA from 1 species
AGCAGCCGCGGUAAUUCCAGCUCCAAUAGCGUAUAUUAAAGUUGUUGCAGUUAAAAGCUCGUAGCUGAAUUUCGGGAUUAGUACGCUGGUCAUGCCUUUGGUAUGUACUGGUGUUACUGGUUCCUGCCUUCUGAAGAACCGUCAUGUCAUUAAUUUGGUGUGGCGGGGAAUCAGGACUGUUACUUUGAAAAAUUAGAGUGUUUAAAGCAGGCUCGCGCUUGAAUACAUUAGCAUGGAAUAAUGAAAUAGGACGUUUGACCCUAUUUUGUUGGUUUCUAGGAUCGACGUAAUGAUUAAUAGGGAUAGUUGGGGGCAUUAGUAUUCAAUUGUCAGAGGUGAAAUUCUUGGAUUUAUUGAAGACUAACUACUGCGAAAGCAUUUGCCAAGGAUGUUUUCAUUAAUCAAGAACGAAAGUUAGGGGAUCGAAGACGAUCAGAUACCGUCGUAGUCUUAACCAUAAACUAUGCCGACUAGGGAUCGGAUGAUGUUAUUUAAUGA